ACUCCUACGGGAGGCAGCAGUGGGGAAUAUUGCACAAUGGGCGCAAGCCUGAUGCAGCCAUGCCGCGUGUAUGAAGAAGGCCUUCGGGUUGUAAAGUACUUUCAGCAGUGAGGAAGGUGGGUAUGUUAAUAGCAUAUUCAUUUGACGUUAGCUGCAGAAGAAGCACCGGCUAACUCCGUGCCAGCAGCCGCGGUAAUACGGAGGGUGCGAGCGUUAAUCGGAAUUACUGGGCGUAAAGCGCAUGCAGGUGGUUUGUUAAGUCAGAUGUGAAAGCCCGGGGCUCAACCUCGGAAUUGCAUUUGAAACUGGCAAACUAGAGUACUGUAGAGGGGGGUAGAAUUUCAGGUGUAGCGGUGAAAUGCGUAGAGAUCUGAAGGAAUACCGGUGGCGAAGGCGGCCCCCUGGACAGAUACUGACACUCAGAUGCGAAAGCGUGGGGAGCAAACAGGAUUAGAUACCCUGGUAGGC
rnacentral:rRNA from 1 species